ACGAACGCUAGCGGCAUGCCUCAAACAUGCAAGUCGAACGAGAAUAAGACUUCGGUCUUUAGUAGAGUGGCGCACGGGUGAGUAACACGUAGUUAACGUACCCUAUCGCUGGGGAUAACUCCGGGAAACCGGAGCUAAUACCGAAUAAGCUGCACUGGUCUGCGGACCUAUUCAGCAAAGCCGUAAGGCGCGAUAGGAUCGGGCUGCGUCCGAUUAGCUAGUUGGUGGGGUAAUGGCCUACCAAGGCGACGAUCGGUAGCUGGUCUGAGAGGAUGAUCAGCCACACUGGAACUGAAACACGGUCCAGACUCCCACGGGAGGCAGCAGUUGGGAAUAUUGCACAAUGGGGGAAACCCUGAUGCAGCAAUGCCGCGUGAGGGAUGAAGGCUUUCGGGUUGUAAACCUCUUUUAGCAAGGAAAAAGAUCUGAUUGUACUUGCAGAAAAAGCACCGGCUAACUCCGU
rnacentral:rRNA from 1 species